rnacentral:tRNA from 1 species
GGAGCUCAGUUGGUAGAGCAUCUGACUUUUAAUCAGAGGGUCAGAGGUUCGAAUCCUCUAUGGCUCACCA